rnacentral:rRNA from 1 species
AGUGAACGCUGGCGGUAGGCCUAACACAUGCAAGUCGAACGGCAGCACAGUAAGAGCUUGCUCUUACGGGUGGCGAGUGGCGGACGGGUGAGGAAUACAUCGGAAUCUACUUUUUCGUGGGGGAUAACGUAGGGAAACUUACGCUAAUACCGCAUACGACCUACGGGUGAAAGCAGGGGAUCUUCGGACCUUGCGCGAUUGAAUGAGCCGAUGUCGGAUUAGCUAGUUGGCGGGGUAAAGGCCCACCAAGGCGACGAUCCGUAGCUGGUCUGAGAGGACGAUCAGCCACACUGGAACUGAGACACGGUCCAGACUCCUACGGGAGGCAGCAGUGGGGAAUAUUGGACAAUGGGCGCAAGCCUGAUCCAGCCAUACCGCGUGGGUGAAGAAGGCCUUUGGGUUGUAAAGCCCUUUUGUUGGGAAAGAAAAGCAGCAGGUUAAUACCCCGCUGUUCUGACGGUACCCAAAGAAUAAGCACCGGCUAACUUCGUG